rnacentral:rRNA from 1 species
UGAUUGAAGGGAGUUGCUCCUAGUACGAGAGGACCGGAGUGAACGAACCUCUGGUGUUCGGGUUGUCACGCCAGUGGCACUGCCCGGUAGCUAAGUUCGGAAUCGAUAACCGCUGAAAGCAUCUAAGCGGGAAGCGAGCCCUGAGAUGAGUCAUCCCUGACCCCUUGAGGGUCCUAAAGGGCCGUUGGAGACCACAACGUUGAUAGGUGGGGUGUGUAAGUGCAGCGAUGCAUUGAGCUAACCCAUACUAAUUACCCGUGAGGCUUAACCAUACAACACCCAAGAAGUGUUCU